rnacentral:rRNA from 1 species
GACGAACGCUGGCGGCGUGCUUAACACAUGCAAGUCGAACGGAAAGGCCCUGCUUUUGUGGGGUGCUCGAGUGGCGAACGGGUGAGUAACACGUGAGUAACCUGCCCUUCACUUUGGGAUAACUUCAGGAAACUGGGGCUACUACCGGAUAGGAUCUCCUGCUGCAUGGAGGGGGUUGGAAAGUUUCGGCGGUUGGGGAUGGACUGGCGGCUUAUCAGCUUGUUGGUUGGGGAGGGGUUUACCAAGGCAUUGGCGGGUAGCCGGCCUGGGAGGGGGGACGGGGACAUGGGGCCUACGGGAGGGCCCAGAGUGGAACAGGGGGCAAUAGUGGGAAGUAUGGCACAGUGAGCCCGAGCCUGUUGCAGAAGCGUCGGGGGCGGGAAGACCGCCUUCGGGGUGUAAACCGCUUUAGCUUGAGACGAAGCUGGAGUGACGGUAAUGAGUAAAGAAGCACCGGCUAACUACGUG